UGUGUCUCUGUGUGUGUGUCUGUGUCUGUGUCUCCGGCUUUGCUCCUCCCUGCCGCCUCUUCUUUCCUGGCCUCAGGGGGCUUUCCUCACCCCACCGCUCAGCCUCGCUGACGAUCUUUGCUGACGCCUGGGAGCGACCGGCCUCUCGCCUGACGCCGUUCAUAGCAAAGAUCCUAGAGGAGCUUUGGUUCAUAGUCCGUUGCCGGGGUCAGGACACGGCCUACCCCGGGCCGGAUUUAGAUGAAGAGAGGCCCUAGGCUAUUCCACUUGUGAGGCCCCUCCCAAUCCCCCACGCCCAUGACGAGAGGAAGAUGGAAGAGUCCACCAGAUUGACACCGAUGUGCAGCCGAACAUAGCCAAUGAGAUAAGGGCUGGAAAGCUACGCUUUUUAUUUAUUGCCAGUGCUAAUGUCAAGUUAUCAGCUUCAAACACUAUUAUUCUGAAAUGGAGGGCAAGGAAAAUUACUGGUGUUGUUUAGAGACUACAGUACGUUGUGACAGCAUAUGUAGGAAAGGCCUAUAACAGUAUCAAAAAUAUUAUACACCAGGCCCAUACGAAGCUUUUCAAAAAGGGGGGUGGCAUGGCAGGAUUACAAAAAUUUCAUGUGAAAUAAGUGCAUGCAGCGCAUAUCACAAGCGUGAAGCUCAAAGACCCUUGCAGCCGGGGUUUUAUAUGCUCUCUGGUGCACUCUGAGCCUUAUUUUGGAGUAUUUUUGCACUAAAUUUAUGACCAAUAUUUCAGAAAUAAUUUUGGUUGAGUGAAGAGUAAUGAGUGGUUGGAAUGGGAUGAUUGGGAUCAUUGUUGUAUACAUUUUUUUUAAAUCAAGAAUUGAAGCUGUCCUUGUUUUAAUAAUCAAGUUGUACUGUAAAAUGUUAUGUAAAAUGUUAUAAAGCAGCAUGCAAACACUGCAAAUAAAAUACUGUAAGUUUUUGCAGUAAAUAAAACCUUUUUUUGUGUGUUGA